UAAACAGCAGGAAGCGGGAGGGAAAUGGUGUCGGUCUGGGCUGAGAGGUUUUACAAACAUUUGGUGCACAUCGGAAAAUACAAAUUUGAAACUUACAGUCUCGUUUUUGCAGUAAACGGGAAAAUACCUCAUCUCGCGAUUGACUCGUAUACCCGUGAUUAAUGCCAAAGCCCUGUUUCCUGGGGAGAGGGUGAUGUUUGACUUUCUUGUACAGCUGCAGUUUGUGGGGUGAAGGUGCUCCCACAAUGUGGUUGGGAUGAGGCUGUCACUGGCUCGGCCAGCAUUUAUUGCUGCGUUUACCCAGAGGGCAGUUAAGAGUCAACCACGUUGCGAUAGGUCUGGAGUCCCAUGCAGACCAGACCAGAGAGCUAACUAACGCACAGAUAAUUGUCUUUGGAGCUGAGAAAGUGAAGCAGUGAUUUCGACCUGGUGCAGAUUUGGUUCCAAGAUAUUGAAUUUGCAGAAAGAGAGGAAUUGUUAACACUGUCACAAUUUUUAGUAACUACUUUCAAGUAAUUGGCAAAUAAUACAAGCAGGGUCAUCAGGAUCUGAAUACCAUUGGCAUUUAACUGUGCAAGGAGAAAGAGUACUGAAAAGGCGGAUUUGUGGAUGAGAAAUUCAAAUUGAACUUCCUGUUCAGUUUUGAUAGUUACUUGAUCCGUGCCGAUCUGAAUAUCAUUGGCCUUUUCAUGUGGAAGGGAAGGGUGCUAGAUGGUGAAGAUUUGCAGACUGAAAUCUCAAAGUCAUGUGCAGAUUGUGAUUAAGUUAACCAGCAUUUGAAGAACCAAAGAUAGAGAAUCACUCGGCCAAAAUCCUGCACACUCUCCCUCACAGCAUUGUCGGUCUUUCUGCACCAAAUGGACUGUGAAUGGUACAAGACAGCAGCUCACUACCAUCUUCUCCAGGGUAACUAGAGAUGGGGAAUAAAUGCUGGCUGAGCCAGUGAUGCCCAUAUCCUGGAAAUGGGUUCUAUCUCUAGUUGCUGAAACCCGGUUGAUGUUACUGCAGGAUGAUGAGGGAUGCUGAGUGCAUCCUCCAGGAGGCAGCACCAUCACAUUACCCCUGCCUACACCCACACAGUAACACAGCAACGUCACUGGAACAAAAGGCAGUGAAACUAAAGGAGGACUUAGAUAUAGUUCUUUGAGGUAAAGACAUGAAAGGGGAUUGGGGCACAGCAGGAACAGGAGACUGAGCUGGAUGGUCAGCUGUUUCCCAUUGAAUGGUGGAGCAGGAGUGAAUGGCUGAAUGGUCUCCUCCUGCUGCUAUCUCCCAGGUAUGUAUAUAGCCAUGGAGCCCGGGUAGGAAGGAGUGGGCAGAGAUUCUCCAAGAGAUUGCACUUCCACAACAGGUUUCAGUGAGCGAUGGUUUGAUGGAUUUUAUUUAACAUUUACAAACCUUGUGUUAAAGAUAAAUUUUGAUUUUAAAAUGUUGU